rnacentral:misc_RNA from 1 species
UGGCUCUCGCAUCGAUGAAGAACGCAGCGAAACGCGAAAUGUAAUGUGAAUUGCAGAAUCUCAGUGAAUCAUCGAAUCUUUGAACGCAUCUUGCGCCCGAUGGUAUUCCGUCGGGCAUGCCUGUCUGAGUGUCCUUAACUCUCAAACACGACCUCGUUUUGUAAUGAGUGCUUGUGGUUUGGAUCCUGGAUUACGGUUGUGGUUUACAACCGGUCGAAAAUAGAGUCGGCCCGAUUACGAAUUUGUAUUCGACGGUUUGACCGAGUGUUGUAACCUCCUCACUUGGGACGUCAGCAAUUUGUAAGGCCUCUAAUGAGUCACGUACACUCCCGAGUGUAAUGUCUUCAGACCUCAGAUCAGGUAGGAUUACCCGCUGA